CCUACGGGUGGCUGCAGUGAGGAAUAUUGGUCAAUGGACGAGAGUCUGAACCAGCCAAGUAGCGUGAAGGAUGACUGCCCUAUGGGUUGUAAACUUCUUUUAUAUGGGAAUAAAACGUUCCACGUGUGGGAUUUUGUAUGUACCAUAUGAAUAAGGAUCGGCUAACUCCGUGCCAGCAGCCGCGGUAAUACGGAGGAUCCGAGCGUUAUCCGGAUUUAUUGGGUUUAAAGGGAGCGUAGGUGGAUUGUUAAGUCAGUUGUGAAAGUUUGCGGCUCAACCGUAAAAUUGCAGUUGAAACUGGCAGUCUUGAGUACAGUAGAGGUGGGCGGAAUUCGUGGUGUAGCGGUAAAAUGCUUAGAUAUCACGAAGAACUCCGAUUGCGAAGGCAGUUCACUAGACUGCAACUGACACUGAGGCUCGAAAGUGUGGGUAUCAAACAGGAUUAGAUACCCGAGUAGUC
rnacentral:rRNA from 1 species